AUACCAAUCUAGCCUGGCUAGGUGUUGGGCUCCGCCGCCGGGCGGGCCUUAAAACUAGUGGCGGUGCUCUCAAGCUCUACGCGUAGUAAUCUUCUCGCUAUAGGGUCUUGGGAGAUGCUGGCCAGCAACCCCGAAUUUUUUCUA
rnacentral:misc_RNA from 1 species